GACGAACGCUGGCGGCGUGCUUAACACAUGCAAGUCGAACGGAAAGGCCCUGUUUGUGUGGGGUGCUCGGGGGGCGAACGGGUGAGUAGCAAGUGAGUAACCUGCCCUUGACUUUGGGAUAACUUCAGGAAGCUGGGGCUAAUACCGGAUAGGCGCUCCUGCUGCAGGGUGGGGGUUGGCACGUUUCGGCGGGUGGGGAUGGACUCGCGGCUUAUCAGCUUGUGGGUGGGGGGUUGGCUUACCAAGGCUUUGACGGGCAGCCGGCCGGAGAGGGGGACCGGCCAAAUGGGGACUGAGAUACGGCCCGGACUCCUACGGGAGGAGGCAGUGGGGAAUAUUGAACAAGGGGCGGAGGCCGGAGGCAGCAACGCCGCGUGGGGGAUGACGGCCUUCGGGUUGUAACCCGCUUCCGCCUGUGACGAAGCGUGAGUGACGGUAAUGGGUAAAGAAGCACCGGCUAACUACGUG
rnacentral:rRNA from 1 species